GGAGCUGUGCGUACGUGCGUGAAUGUAUGUCUAUAACUUCUAGCCUGCAAUGGUUGUCCUAUACCGAGACAAGCCGACAUUCACCAUUCAGUCUCAGUUCCACCUUCGAGCUGGCAGCACGUACCCUAAGGUUGCUGAAGCUACAUUUAAAACGAAAGUAAUUGAUUAAAGUCUGAGGAAAAUAAGAGAAAAAAUGAAGCCACCUGUGAUUGCCAUUUGGGUGCUCGUGUCCUGGUGUUUGGGGGCCGCAUCUUCAUCCAUCAUAACAGAACAACCUGCAAUCGAUGACAUUUUCUCUUCCGUUUCCAAAAUGGAAGCUCUAGUCCACCAAGAAAAUGCUAUUGUUGAUAUGCUCGAUUCCUUUUUGAUCGACGCCAAACAGCGAAUCACCAUCAUUCAAAAUUACGUCACCGCAUAUCGCCAAGUGAUGAACGGAGAUCUCAGUUCAUCGAAGCUGGUUGCUAAUCCUGUGGACGCCUACCAUUUGGUGAAACGUCUCACCAUUGACUGGGAUGUCGUGGAACGAGUCCUCGAAGCAGAAUCAAACUCAAGCCGAAAUGCCUUAAACCAUGUACAGGUAUUACGCGAAACGUCCGUUUUUCCCAAUUCCGAGGAUCUACAUGGCGCAGCGAUCGCUCUCGUUCGCCUACAAGAUACUUACCAACUAAACGUGACCGAACUAGCCGAUGGUCACUACAACGGAGUCGAUCACUCCCGAGGACAAGUUUUUCAAAGUCGGAGAGAUCUGAGUGGUCGGGAUUGUCUUUUCAUGGCGCAACACGCUUUUGCCGAUGGAUAUUACGACACUGCUUUACAAUGGGCCGAAGCCGCCUUAGGCCAAUUCGCUCGGAAGGGAGAUAGUUACGGUUCAGAGCUGGAAGCAUUCCGCAAUGAGGUCAAACACUUCGUGGAGUUUGCUAGUCGUGUGCACGAUGACGUCCUGGAAAGGCAAGGGCCUCGCGGCGUGAAUUGGCAAACCAACAGCCAUCCGGUGGACAGACAGUUCCUUACAGGCAACAGUGAAAAAUACAAUAGCCUGGCCGAGCAGCAGUUCACGCCCAAACUUUAUCAGCACCAAACAGAGGAUGAAGAAAAUGAACACUACGAACGACUCUGCCGAGGAGAAAAGCUUAGAUCGGCGAGCAUUGAGGCCAGUUUACGAUGCCGCCUAGUGACUAGAGGCCAUCCAGCUCUAUUACUUCAACCACUCAAAGUUGAAGAACAAUCUCUAGACCCGAUGAUUGUGGUUCUUCACGAUCUGCUAACCGAACGUCAAACUGAAAUUCUUCGAGAGCUCGGAGAACCAAAGCUUGCCACAUCGCUACAUCGAGGAGGAGAGGGCAAAUUCGUUCGCAGCAUGAUUCGCACCAGUAAAAAUGCAUGGCUUCAAGAACAUGAAAACGCUUCUUUGCCUGUUAUCCGACGCCGAAUGGAAAUAGCCACAGGCCUGAUUUACGGCCCUGAAACUGCGUCGGAAUAUUUUCAGAUUGCCAAUUACGGCAUCGGUGGCUUGUACAAGACACACACCGACAACGUCAUUCACCCGGAUGUCAGGCCGGAAGAUCAGGACCCUUGGAAUUUGUACGUUGGAGACAGAAUUGCCACCUUGAUGGUUUACCUGACGAAUGUGGAAGCCGGCGGAGCGACCGUAUUUCCUAGGGCUGGUGUCACUUGUUGGCCUCGAAAAGGUUCUGCUGCCUUCUGGUGGAAUUUGUACAAAAACGGCGAACCUGACCUAACCACGCGUCAUGGCGCUUGCCCUGUUUUACAUGGCAGUAAAUGGGUAUCCAACAAAUGGAUUCGUCAAUACGAUCAGAUGUUGGUUGCUAAAUGUGGCUUGCACCCUCUGGAAAAGUUUAAUUCUCUAUUAGUCUAAAGAUUUUGAUGAUCAACAGACGGUCACGAGGCUUUGUUUUCUCAAUUUUUUGGUGAAUUUUCGGAAAAUUUAUGACGCUAAUUCCUGGCAGGAAAUAACAGGAUAUUCGAUGUGCUGUAAUCACUAUAUGUAAAUAUAAUGUAAACUGUU
rnacentral:misc_RNA from 1 species